UACGUAGGGUGCGAGCGUUGUCCGGAAUUAUUGGGCGUAAAGAGCUUGUAGGCGGUUUGUCGCGUCUGCUGUGAAAAUCCGGGGCUCAACCCCGGACUUGCAGUGGGUACGGGCAGACUGGGGUGUGGUAGGGGAGACUGGAAUUCCUGGUGUAGCGGUGGAAUGCGCAGAUAUCAGGAGGAACACCGAUGGCGAAGGCAGGUCUCUGGGCCACUACUGACGCUGAGAAGCGAAAGCAUGGGGAGCGAACAGG
rnacentral:rRNA from 1 species